GAUGAACGUUGGCGGCGUGCCUAAUACAUGCAAGUCGAGCGAACAGACGAGGAGCUUGCUCCUCUGACGUUAGCGGCGGACGGGUGAGUAACACGUGGAUAACCUACCUAUAAGACUGGGAUAACUUCGGGAAACCGGAGCUAAUACCGGAUAAUAUAUUGAACCGCAUGGUUCAAUAGUGAAAGACGGUUUUGCUGUCACUUAUAGAUGGAUCCGCGCCGCAUUAGCUAGUUGGUAAGGUAACGGCUUACCAAGGCAACGAUGCGUAGCCGACCUGAGAGGGUGAUCGGCCACACUGGAACUGAGACACGGUCCAGACUCCUACGGGAGGCAGCAGUAGGGAAUCUUCCGCAAUGGGCGAAAGCCUGACGGAGCAACGCCGCGUGAGUGAUGAAGGUCCUCGGAUCGUAAAACUCUGUUAUUAGGGAAGAACAAAUGUGUAAGUAACUAUGCACGUCUUGACGGUACCUAAUCAGAAAGCCACGGCUAACUACGUG
rnacentral:rRNA from 1 species